rnacentral:rRNA from 1 species
UUUGACCUCAGAUCAGGCAGGAUUACCCGCCGAAUUUAAGCAUAUUACUAAGCGGAGGAGAAGAAACUAACAAGGAUUCCCCUAGUAACGGCGAGCGAACCGGGAAGAGCCCAACUUGAAAAUCUGGCGGCCUUGUCGCCCGAAUUGUAGUCUAAAGAAGCGUCCUCUGCAGCGGAUCGGGCCCAAGUUCCCUGGAACGGGACGUCAGAGAGGGUGAGAACCCCGUCGA